rnacentral:rRNA from 1 species
GGUUAGUAACGCGUGGGAACAUACCCUUUACUACGGAAUAGCCUUUGGAAACGAAGAGUAAUACCGUAUACGCCCUACGGGGGAAAGAUUUAUCGGUAAAGGAUUGGCCCGCGUUAGAUUAGAUAGUUGGUGGGGUAACGGCCUACCAAGUCUACGAUCUAUAGCUGGUUUGAGAGGAUGAUCAGCAACACUGGGACUGAGACACGGCCCAGACUCCUACGGGAGGCAGCAGUGGGGAAUCUUAGACAAUGGGGGAAACCCUGAUCUAGCGAUGCCGCGUGUGUGACGAAGGCCUUAGGGUCGUAAAGCACUUUCGCCAGAGAUGAUAAUGACAGUAUCUGGUAAAGAAACCCCGGCUAACUCCGUGCCAGCAGCCGCGGUAAUACGGAGGGGGUUAGCGUUGUUCGGAAUUACUGGGCGUAAAGCGUACGUAGGCGGAUUAGUAAGUUAGAGGUGAAAUCCCAGGGCUCAACCCUGGAACUGCCUUUAAUACUGCUAGUCUAGAGUUCGAGAGAGGUGAGUGGAAUUCCAAGUGUAGAGGUGAAAUUCGUAGAUAUUUGGAGGAACACCAGUGGCGAAGGCGGCUCACUGGCUCGAUACUGACGCUGAGGUACGAAAGUGUGGGGAGCAAACAGGAUUAGAUACCCUGGUAGUCCACACCGUAAACGAUGAAUGCCAGUCGUCGGGUAGUAUACUAUUCGGUGACACACCUAACGGAGUAAGCAUUCCGCCUGGGGAGUACGG